rnacentral:rRNA from 1 species
CACCUUCGAAGGCUAAGUACUCCUGACUGACCGAUAGUGAACCAGUACCGUGAGGGAAAGGUGAAAAGCACCCCGACGAGGGGAGUGAAACAGUUUCUGAAACCGGACGCCUACAAUCAGUCGGAGGCUCCUUGAGAGCUGACGGCGUACCUUUUGUAUAAUGGGUCAGCGACUUAUGUUCAGUGGCGAGGUUAACCGUUUAGGGGAGCCGUAGGGAAACCGAGUCUGAAUAGGGCGAUUUAGUCGCUGGGCAUAGACCCGAAACCGGGCGAUCUAUCCAUGAGCAGGUUGAAGGUGCCGUAACAGGCACUGGAGGACCGAACCCACCUAUGUUGAAAAAUGGGGGGAUGAGCUGUGGCUCGGAGUGAAAGGCUAAUCAAGCCCGGAGAUAGCUGGUUCUCCUCGAAAACUAUUUAGGUAGUGCCUCGCGUUUGACUGCUGGGGGUAGAGCACUGUGUCGGCUAGGGGGUCAUCCCGACUUACCAACCCGAUGCAAACUCCGAAUACCAGUAAGUUUUAUCGCGGGAGACAGACGGCGGGUGCUAACGUCCGUCGUCAAGAGGGCAACAACCCAGACCACCAGCUAAGGUCCCUAAUAUCAGUUAAGUGGGAAACGAUGUGGGAAGGCUUAGACAGCUAGGAGGUUGGCUUAGAAGCAGCCACCCUUUAAAGAAAGCGUAAUAGCUCACUAGUCGAGUCGGCCUGCGCGGAAGAUGUACCGGGGCUUAAGUAAUAUACCGAAGCUAUGGAUACUCUUAGGAGUAUGGUAGAGGAGCGUUCUGUAAGCGGUUGAAGGGGUCCUGAGAGGGGUCCUGGACGUAUCAGAAGUGCGAAUGCUGACAUGAGUAACGAUAAAGGGGGUGAGAGGCCCCCUCGCCGAAAACCCAAGGUUUCCUGCUCAAUGCUAAUCAGAGCAGGGUGAGUCGGCCCCUAAGGCGAGGCAGAAAUGCGUAGUCGAUGGGAAACAGGUUAAUAUUCCUGUACCUCUUGUUACUGCGAUGGGAUGACGGAGAAGGUUAGGUCAGCUGGCGAUUGGUAGUGCCAGUUUAAGUGUGUAGGCAGAUUUUUUAGGUAAAUCCGGAGAAUCAAUGCUGAGGCAUGAUAACGAGUCCUCUUUUGGACGAAGUGAUUGAUACCCUGCUUCCAGGAAAAGUCUCUAAGCUUCAGGUAACAAGGGACCGUACCCCAAACCGACACAGGUGGGUGGGAUGAGAAUUCUAAGGCGCUUGAGAGAACUCUGGUGAAGGAACUAGGCAAAAUAGCACCGUAACUUCGGGAGAAGGUGUGCCUAAUAGGUGAAGCGACUUGCUCGUGGAGCUGAAUUAGGUUGCAGUGAAAUGGU